CGUACUCGUGGAUGUCCUCCUGCCCAGCAGCUGAGAAGUCGAUGUACAGCAUGCUGACGAUCACUGAGUUUUGAAGACCGACGCUCUGAGAGGUGAAGGUGUCUACAGUGGCCGAGCUGGGAUUUUAACCACUGAGUCGGUGGAAAAACUGAGACCUGCAGAAAGAAAGCAGCUUGCCAGCCAGCGGUGGCAGAGCCCACUGCACCUGGCUCUCCAAGUGCACUCUGUAAAGGGGGUCACUGUCAUGGAGGGGCAGUUCUCCAGGUCUGCGGAUGGAGCCGACUGAGGCCCACAGAGGCAAGGUCUGUCCAAGUCACCUCUCUGAUGCUAGCUUGCUGCAGCUCUACGAUUUCCUCCCCAUCCCUGGCCCCCCAAUCAUCUUUUGAAUACAGAACAGGCCGAAGACACAUGAAGGAAAGGAAAGCACCCUCAGCAAGGAUGCUCUCGGAGCCAGGCAUUGUGACCUGUGUUAUCUCAUUUCCUCUUAACGACCGCCUAUCUAGGGCAUUCAUCACCCUCUCCUACAGGUGAGCCCUGUUGGAUGGUCAGUACAUGGAUGUGGCCCUGGUCUGUCUGACCUCAGCCCUGGGCCCCCUCCUCAGGUCCUGCUCAGCCACACAAGAAGGCAGGGACUAGCCUUGGCUGUGCCAGCCACUGCCCAUGUGACAGCAGUGAAGUCCUUUCCUCUCUCUGCACCUCUGUUUCUGUACCUGCACAAUGAGAGGUUCUAGCCUGGUCAGGCAGAGGGCAAAAUGGGUCCAGGGCACAGGCUUUCUGGGCCCAUAGCCCAGGGAAGGGGGAUAAGAGAGACAGGAUAGAUGCUGUCUGCUAGUAAACCUAACUGGCACUAUGGUGAUGGAAAAGCUGAGUGCCAACUUCCCCAGCAAACUCUACAGCUAGGCAUGGCCAUAUGACCAAGUUCAAAAUAAUGAGACCAAGAAGAAAUCUUUUGAAGGCUUCUGAAAUGCUUUUGCUUUCCUGAUAAAGGGCCAUCUGUGGCUGGCACCUCCCUUCCCCUCUUCCAACCUUGAACAUGGACAUGAUGUCUGGAGUUGUGGCAGCCAUUUUGCAGUUAUGAGGCCCAGAGACUCUCAGACAGACCAGCUAGGACACUGUUGAAUCCCUGAACUGACACAGCAGCUGCCUAGUUCUAGACUUCUAGUUAUGUAAGAAAAACAAAGGCCAUUUUUUCAAACCACUGUCAGUCAGGGUUUAUGACUGUACUAGCAAGGUUGGUCAGCAGCUCUGUGGUUAUACCAAUCAUUUACCAUUAACAGUGUUAGUACAUUUUUAAUAUUACCCCUAGAUAUAGAAGAUCAACCAUAGUACAAGAGAGGCCAAGGGUCCACAGGGGAAGGAGAUAGGUGAGGAGGAGUUAUGAAUCAUGAAGGUGGAAAAAUAAGGCACUGUAAUAGUAGAAAUAGGCAAGGGUCAUAUUGGUAUGAUCUCAAAGGACCCAGGGCAGGAGUUGGCAGUGGUGCAGCCACCCAGGAAGUUGGAGGAGACUAGUUGGUGGGAUGGAGGAAGGAGGAGACCUGGGACCCUGGCCUCAACUUCCCCCACCAGCAUACCCACAUCCUGAACCCCAGCUGACCUCCAAU